rnacentral:lncRNA from 1 species
ACACAUUCAACCAAAGAUUGCAUAAGGAAGUAUCAAAACAUAAUUCUACUUCCUAUUACAAGCAUUCAUCUCACAUAUUACAUUUUACAUUACAAAUUACAUUCUUUUACAUUCAACUUCCAAAUACAAUCCAAUUAUUACAAAUUUCCUACAAGUUUGAUACAUCUUGUUCUUUCAUUUUUCUCUACCCCUAGGCUAUGCCGACUCGGGGUACCACUACCUCUGGUCUCUGUGGUAGGGCGCUAUCUAUGGAGCUACGCCCUUGCCUAGCGCCGCCGUGCCGCUCACGUGUGAACCUGUAACACCCCAAAACAACGUGGGGUGAGAACUAACUCCAUAGUUCCCAGUGGGUACGGCCACCCAAGGGAAGAGCUCGACCAUCAGGUCCAAAGGAGGCAAACAACAUGUUAGUCCAAUAGAUAGAUAUGAAAUCAUAAAUCGUGCAACUAACAUUACCAUACUUUUGCCUCACAACAUGCAAUAUGCAAAUCAUGCAACUCAUAUCGGUAGAUUAAUUGAUUCUACUCUUUAUUCUUAUCCAUUCUUUACCUUUAAUCAUUCUUUACUUUACUAGUUAUUCUUUAGUAUUUACCUUUCUAUAUUCUUCAUUACUCGCCAUUCUUUAGCACUAGCCUUUCCUUAUUCUUUAUUCUUUAUUCUUUAUUCUUUAUACUUUAUUAA